UCUAUUAUCUAUGGCUAUUACCUAUGAUUAUCAGUGAUGAAAAAGUGAGUUUAUCUCCUUGCACGUGAAAAUUUAUAAAUUAAGGUUAUUGCGGGCAGCUUUUCAUUAUCUAUACCAUGGACUCGGCUCCCUGCACUAACCAGCUAGGAAAUGCCUUGCCGGUCAAAGCAUUCCGUUCUAAUGAUAUUGGAUGCAACAAUGGUGACUGAAGCUUGCUUCCUAAACGUGUCUGAUACAAGUUGACCCCAAAAGGAAACUGAUGCUAUUAUAAUUUCUCCUAUUUGUGACCUGUGUCUGGUCGAUAGUAUACUCUGGUAUUAUUCUUGCUGGAUUUGCUGGCUUUUUUACUCAAGGAUGUGUGGUACCUGAAGGAAACAUACAAGUAAAAGGAAUGAUUCUACAAUCAAUUGGUAAGUAGCAACAUUUAAUAAAACUGAAAGUACCAAAAUGUUUCAAACUGAGGAAGAAUUUUAUAAUUGGAAAUUAUCAAUGUACACUUUCAGUUCAUCAUUUAGAAAUAUUUUAUUCUGUAGUUAAUUAAUGUUUUCCUUACUAAAUGAGCUUGCAAAAUAUGUUAAGGUUAUUGUGAGGCACCAGUGAAUAGUUUACUUUAGUUCUGCAAUUGUAUAAAAAUUUCUGCGCAGUAUCUGGAAUUAAGUCUAUAGUUAGGAAUUAUGGAGGUGCACAUUCAAUCAAUUUAAAAACGUCGUUUCUUGAUAAAUUAAUUUCUUUAUUUAUUAAAGGAAAUAAAACUACUAAAAUGUAUUAAAGUUGCUAGAAGGCAUCAGUGUAAAGAAAUUUGUAGUUGGACAUUACCAGAACACUUUCAAUACCCAUUUUGUGAACGUCGUUUCUUUUUCUUGAAAAGUUCAUUUCUCCCUUAUGUUGUAUUUUGUGGUCUUAAAUUAAAGGAUGCACUUUUGGCCCCCAUUUUGAAAACGUUUUUAUUUUUUGAUUAAUUAAUUUCUUACUUAUUAAACCAGUUGAAAAUACCAAAAUUUAAUAAAGUAGUUGUGUGUGAACAUAAAAUUAUGUGGCUAAAACGUACUGGUUAAUAUUUUAAACCCUCUUCACUCAAACAGUCGCAAAAGAAUUAUAAUUGCUACUGUUGGCUGGUGAUGAGAAUACUUUGCAGUACAGCGGGUUGCAUACACGAAAGACUAUCAAUCACCAGCACUGUUUAAUAAAAACACUAAAUUUAUGUUACCAUGAAACCUUCCAGCGAAAUUAAAUAGCUGCGCUGUAGUCUAUUUAAAGAUAGAAAUGUUACACUUUGAGUCGAAAUUUGUAGGAAACUAAAUUUUUCUAUUUUAAUAAAAUAUUCUAAACUUAUUUGGUGGAUAAUACACUGUUGCUAUAAAUGUAAAUAAAUGCUUUUCACCUUGUUUUGUAUAUUUCUCUAAUAUGGGCAUUUUCAUUUUAUGUCGUGUACUUUACAAUUUUUAUAUGAUUUCUUAUAAAGAAAACUGUUAAUAGUUAAAACAACGAUUAACAGUUUUAUCUUUCAUAGGCACCUAAAGUCUAGAAUUUAUUUCUACUUUUACAAAAAGCAUUGCAUUCAUAUUGCCAAUUUAUAUUUAUGUUUAAAAAUCUUUCUACGUUUAUUUGGAAAGCAUGUUUUAUACAUACGUUUUAAACUUAUAUUAAACAAGGUUUUUUAUCCUGACAUCCUGACGUCAUUAACUAACUAUGUUUUUAACACUGUAUUAAUAUGCAAAUCCCGUGAGAUG